UCAGGACAUCAUAAUCAUUCUCGCAGAUAAUAGUCAUCAUCAUCACGGAAUCACCGCUGCACGGUUCCGAGUUGAUAUCCGACAUUCCGACUAUCCGUCUUCUUAAGCCCACUGCCGAAGCCUAAAGUGACUUCAUCUUGAGAAAUAAUGCCUCCCGUUCCUAAAUACAAACACCUAUCCGGGUUGGCGACAAUAUCUAUUGAAAGUGAAAUAUUAGAUACUAUGGAUUACAAGGAGUUGAUCGAGAGCUUUGCUUCAAAAAACGCUAGGAGAACCACACUGUUUGCUUAGCA